UACGGAGGGGGCUAGCGUUAUUCGGAAUUACUGGGCGUAAAGCGCACGUAGGCGGCUUUGUAAGUUAGAGGUGAAAGCCCAGAGUUCAACUCUGGAAUAGCCUUUAAGACUGCAUCGCUUGAAUCAUGGAGAGGUCAGUGGAAUUCCGAGUGUAGAGGUGAAAUUCGUAGAUAUUCGGAAGAACACCAGUGGCGAAGGCGGCUGACUGGACAUGUAUUGACGCUGAGGUGCGAAAGCGUGGGGAGCAAACAGG
rnacentral:rRNA from 1 species